AGGCGGAGUCUUGGGCAAUUGCCGGCAAUCUUAAGAGGCAUUGCACUUGUCUCGGUCUGA
ensembl:miRNA